AUGGUGUUUCAUGGCAGCGCUUCACGCCAUCUCUUAUCAUUGCUGCCAUCUUUUAGGUACUAUCCACUGCUUCACCUUCAUUCUCCAAUCUCGUCGUCUCUCUUUUCAACUGUUACUGCUCAAUCCCAACAUGAAUACAUCAAAUUCAAUCCGAACCAGUCUUCUCUUGACGAACGCUCUGUUCUUCACGAGCUUUCGAACCUCUUACCAAUUCCCCACCAAAUUUCACCUCCAAAACAAUUUGAACCUACUAAUUCGAAUAAGCAGGUAGAAAAUGUUAGGGCUGUGGAUGGGUUUUUGUUGCCGGAGGAGAAAUUGCGUGGGGUGUUUCUUCAGAAAUUGAAGGGUAUAGCUGUAAUUGAGCAUGCUCUGGACAAUGCUGGUGUUGAUUUGAGUGUUGAUGUUGUUGCUCAAGUAGUGAAUAGAGGUAGUUUAGGAGGUGAAGCAAUGCUUGUGUUUUUCAAUUGGGCGAUUCAGAAGCCGAAUGUAGCUAAAGAUGCUCAUAUGUAUCAUGUAAUCAUCAAAGCAUUGGGUAGAAGAAAGUUCUUUAAGUAUAUGAUGCAAGUUAUAAGUGACAUGAGGAGCCAAGACGUAUGUAUCGAUUUGGAGACUGUGUCGAUAGUGAUGGAUAGUUUUGUGAGGGCUGGACAUGUAUCGAAAGCAAUCCGAUUUUUUUGGGACUUGGAAGAGUUCGGGUUGGAUUGCGGUACUGAGUGUCUGAAUGUGCUUCUGCAGUGUCUGUGUCAGCGGUCUCAUGUAGUGGCUGCAAGUUCAUUUCUUAAUUCAGUGAAGGGGAAGGUGGAGCUUAAUGGUGCGAUGUAUAACAUAGUUAUUGGUGGGUGGUCGAGAUAUGGUAGAGUUGGUGAGAUGGAGAGGACUUUGGAAGCAAUGGUAGCAGAUGGGUUUAGUCCUGAUAGUGCAACUUUCUGUCACAUUCUUGAGGGUUUAGGAAGAGCUGAUCGGAUUGAUGAUGCAGUUGAGAUUUUUGAGAGCAUGAAGAGCAAAGGUUGUGUUCCAGACACCAAUGCAUACAAUGCAAUGAUCUCUAAUUUUAUCUCUGUUGGGAAUAUUGAUGAAUGUGUUAAGUACUUCAAAAGUAUGUCGAGUAAUGGUUGUGAUCCAAAUGUUGAAACUUAUACCAAAUUGAUUGCUGGUUUGCUUAAAGCCCGAAAAGUGGCAGAUGUACUGGAGAUGUUUGAUGAGAUGUUAAGUCGAGGAUUUGUUCCUACUAUGGGGACUAUAACCACUUUUAUGGAACCCUUAUGUAGCUAUGGUCCACCAUAUGCUGCUAUGAUGAUCUACCAGAAAGCAAGAAAGGUUGGAUGUAGAGUUUCGUUGGCUGCUUAUAAGCUAUUGCUUAUGCGCCUUUCUAGAUUUGGUAAAUGUGGAAUGUUGCUAAACAUUUGGGAUGAGAUGCACGAAUGUGGUUAUGCUUCUGAUAUUGAAGUUUAUGAGCUUGUAAUCAGUGGACUUUGCAACAUAGGGCAGCUUGAAAAUGCUGUACUUGUCAUGGAAGAGUCUCUGCGAAAAGGUUUUUGCCCAAGCAGGCUUAGCUACAGCAAACUAAGUAACAAACUUCUUGCUUCAAAUAAGUUAGAGAGGGCUUAUAAGUUAUAUUUGAAGAUUAAAGCUGCUCGCCGUGCUGACAAGGCACAGAGGAAUUUGGCGGGCUAGGGGAUGGCAUUUAUGAACUGUCAUCUCACUGUUGGCAAGAUAUUUUCUUCCUUUCCUUCCUACAGCAAGUUAUGAACUUACCCUUUAGAAGAGUGGUUUUCAGUAAGUGAAACACGGGGAAGAUUAUGAAUAUAGUAUCAGAGAUUGGCUUGAUAAUGGAGCUGUCAUCUGA